GAUGAACGCUGGCGGCGUGCCUAAUACAUGCAAGUCGAGCGAAUGGAUUAAGAGCUUGCUCUUAUGAAGUUAGCGGCGGACGGGUGAGUAACACGUGGGUAACCUGCCCAUAAGACUGGGAUAACUCCGGGAAACCGGGGCUAAUACCGGAUAACAUUUUGACCCGCAUGGUUCGAAAUUGAAAGGCGGCUUCGGCUGGCACUUAUGGAUGGACCCGCGUCGCAUUAGCGAGUUGGUGAGGUAACGGCUCACCAAGGCAACGAUGCGUAGCCGACCUGAGAGGGUGAUCGGCCACACUGGGACUGAGACACGGCCCAGACUCCUACGGGAGGCAGCAGUAGGGAAUCUUCCGCAAUGGACGAAAGUCUGACGGAGCAACGCCGCGUGGGUGAUGAAGGCUUUCGGGUCGUAAAACUCUGUUGUUAGGGAAGAACAAGUGCUAGUUGAAUAAGCUGGCACCUUGACGGUACCUAACCAGAAAGCCACGGCUAACUACGUGCCAGCCGCCGCCGUAA
rnacentral:rRNA from 1 species